GGGAUGUUGGCUCAGUGGUAGAGUGCUUGCCUCCCAUGCAUGAGGCCGUGGGUUUGAAUCCUUAGCAUCACA
rfam:Dipodomys ordii contig_46078, whole genome shotgun sequence.